GUCCACGCCGUAAACGAUGAACGCUAGCCGUUGGAUAGCUUGCUAUUCAGUGGCGCAGCUAACGCAUUAAGCGUUCCGCCUGGGGAGUACGGCCGCAAGGUUGAAACUCAAAGGAAUUGACGGGGGCCCGCACAAGCGGUGGAGCAUGUGGUUUAAUUCGACGCAACGCGCAGAACCUUACCAGGGUUUGACAUCCUGUGCUCGCCGGUGAAAGCCGGUUUUCCCGCAAGGGACGCAGAGACAGGUGCUGCAUGGCUGUCGU
rnacentral:rRNA from 1 species